CAUUCGAUCUCCUCCUUCUAUACCUCCAACUCUUUCAAUGGCAGCACCGACAACAUUGCCCAUCAACUACUAUUGCCAUUGAUGAUAGUAGUAUCUUCGUAAAACGGUUUGUCAUAGUCGUAGAAGUAAAACAGUUCAUCAAAUUAGCAAAAUCACAUGCUGCUGGAGAUUUCAAGGUUUCAAGCAUCUCUUCUUUGCAUCGGUUAAAAUUUUUGUUGAUUUAAGUAAGUCAAAGUAAAUAUAAAAUUUCUAUUUUUAUAUAUACAAUUGAGC
rnacentral:lncRNA from 1 species